AGAGAGGGAGAGGGGCUUGUCCAUGUCCAGUGCUCUGACCUAUGAGCAACUGGGUGAUCGAUAGCCUGGCACU
rnacentral:snoRNA from 1 species